AAAAUAAGUUCCGCUGUCAGCAACAUUCUACCUGAGACGUUAACUCUGAUUGUCUUUCUACAGAUGCUGUUUUAAUCUACAUCUCUGCUUUUAUUUCAGAUUUAUUCAUUUUUCUUCAUGUUCAUUUAAAGAUCAGUUGCAAACUAUUUUUUAGAGCCUAUUGUCAACGCAUUCCAGGAGAUGGGAUGGAAAAUAGUUGGGGGAAGAGGAUGGCCUCCUGGUGGGCUGCCUUUUGGUGGUGGAGGGUCAGCUCUUUGCACCCUUAACAACCAGGAAAGGUGGGCAGGCACUUCUGUAGCAUGUCCAAGCAGAGGAAUGGGCCUAGCAUGACCCAUCCCUUGAGAUCAGCACCUCUUAAAACAUCCACCUGAAUUUCUACGGAAAGGAAAACAGGGAGAGGUGAGUAGUGCAAUCACUAACAAGAAAAACAUCUGCAGAUGCUAGAAAUCCAAGCAACGCAAACAAAAUGCUGGAGGAAUUUAGAAUGAAUGGUCUUGCCCCCCCCCUCUUUCUUUCUCCUGAGGCCUCCCGUCCCAUGAUCCUUUCCCUUCUCCAGCUCUGUAUCACUUUCGCCAAUCACCUUUCCAGCUCUUAGCUUCAUCCCACCCCCUCCGGUCUUCUCCUAUCAUUUCGCAUUUCCCCCUCCCCCCACUUCUUUCACAUCUCUUACUAUCUUUCCUUUCGGUUAGUCCUGACGAAGGGUCUCGGCCUGAAACGUCAACAGAGCUUCUCCCUAUAGAUGCUGCCUAGCCUGCUGUGUUCCACCAGCAUUUUGUGUGUGUUGUUGUUUGAAUAUCCAGCAUCUGCAAAUUUCCUCAUGUUUGCACAUUGACUCCUUACUCUUUUCCAUAGAUGCUGCCUGACCUGCAGAGUUCCUCAAGCAUUUUGAGAGCAGGGUAAUUUCAACCAAAAAGAAGAAAUGAAUUUAUUCUUGGCUCACUAUUUUGGUCCUCACACACUGAGAUGUGUCUGUCAUGUUUCAAAUUGGAAUAGUGGGGACAGCUUCUUACAAAAUGGUGCUGAAACCCUGGUAACAUGGGUAAAGAUGAUGAACACAGAGCAUGGAUCAGUCCAUGGAAAUAUGAUGCUGUGAGAUUAGAGAGUUGCUUGAGAGAGUGUCAGGAAAGAGUGCUUAGAUAAGGGGAUAAGCAGAGGUCUCAAGUUUCUCUUAACCUGCAAAAUAAACAAGCAAAAGCAGAGAAUCAAGGAAUAAUGCAACUAUUUCUGUUGUGAGUGAGGUGGGAGCAAUCCUGCUGCCUCGGUGAACUUCCUUUCUCAGUAUGAGAGGGCAGUACGUCACACAAACUCAGACUAUGCUUGUCUAUGUUAGGGUAAUAUGAUUGAAAUGGUCAUACUUGUCAUUAUACAUACCAUUUAUUACAAAUUACUAUAAAUUGCACUUUUAGACAGAGAUAUAACGUAAAUAUUUUUACUCCUCAUGUA